CUGUAGAAAAGAUAGGUCAAAGUUCGCUCUAUAUAGGUGGAGGAAGCGCAACCGGGUGACAUGUGAAGCUAGGUGAGGGUCAUGAAGCCAUGGUCCCAAAUUUUGUGAAAACACCUUGAGGAAUUAUGUACUAAAGCCUUCAGCUUUUUUGUUUCUUCAAAUAGUUAAAAAAAAAAUUAUCUUAAAGUGUGUCUUGGAUCAUUAACUUGUUAGAAUAAAUAUCCUGG